rnacentral:rRNA from 1 species
GUGGGGAAUAUUGCACAAUGGGCGAAAGCCUGAUGCAGCGACGCCGCGUGAGCGAUGAAGUAUUUCGGUACGUAAAGCUCUAUCAGCAGGGAAGAUAAUGACGGUACCUGACUAAGAAGCACCGGCUAAAUACGUGCCAGCAGCCGCGGUAAUACGUAUGGUGCAAGCGUUAUCCGGAUUUACUGGGUGUAAAGGGAGCGUAGGCGGCGUGGUAAGUCAGAAGUGAAAGCCCGGGGCUCAACCCCGGGACUGCUUUUGAAACUAUCAUGCUAGAGUGUCGGAGAGGUAAGUGGAAUUCCUAGUGUAGCGGUGAAAUGCGUAGAUAUUAGGAGGAACACCAGUGGCGAAGGCGGCUUACUGGACGAUAACUGACGCUGAGGCUCGAAAGCGUGGGGAGCAAACAGGAUUAGAUACCCCGGUAGUCC